AUUGAACGCUGGCGGAAUGCUUUACACAUGCAAGUCGAACGGCAGCACGGACUUCGGUCUGGUGGCGAGUGGCGAACGGGUGAGUAAUGUAUCGGAACGUGCCCAGUCGUGGGGGAUAACGUAGUGAAAAUUACGCUAAUACCGCAUACGAUCUAUGGAUGAAAGCGGGGGAUCGCAAGACCUCGCGCGAUUGGAGCGGCCGAUAUCAGAUUAGGUAGUUGGUGGGGUAAAGGCCCACCAAGCCAACGAUCUGUAGCUGGUCUGAGAGGACGACCAGCCAGACUGGAACUGAGACACGGUCCAGACGCCUACGGGAGGCAGCAGUGGGGAAUUUUGGAAAAUGGGCGAAGGCCUGAUCCAGCCAUUCCGCGUGCAGGAUGAAGGCCCUCGGGUUGUAAACUGCUUUUGUACAGAACGAAAAGGUUUCUACUAAUACUAGGAGCUCAUGACGGUACUGUAAGAAUAAGCACCGGCUAACUACGUGCCAGCAGCCGCCGUAA
rnacentral:rRNA from 1 species